UACGUAGGGUGCAAGCGUUGUCCGGAAUUAUUGGGCGUAAAGGGCUCGUAGGCGGUCCAUCACGUCGGGAGUGAAAAGCUGGGGCUUAACCCCAGUCCUGCUUCCGAUACGGGUGGACUAGAGGUAGGCAGGGGAGAACGGAAUUCCUGGUGUAGCGGUGAAAUGCGCAGAUAUCAGGAGGAACACCAAUGGCGAAGGCAGCUCACUGGGACGGUAUUGACGCUGAGACGCGAAAGCGUGGGGAGCAAACAGG
rnacentral:rRNA from 1 species